GACGAACGCUGGCGGCGUGCUUAACACAUGCAAGUCGAACGAAGUGGCGAACGGGUGAGUAACGCGUAAUCAACCUGCCCUUCAGAGGGGGACAACAGUUGGAAACGACUGAUAAUACCGCAUACGGAAGGAGGGGUUUGCGUCUGAUUAGCUAGUUGGAGGGGUAACGGCCCACCAAGGCGAUGAUCAGUAGCCGGUCUGGGAGGAUGCACGGACACAGUGGGACUGAUACACGGCCCAGACGCCUACGUGAGGAAGCAGUGGGGAAUGGUCCGCAAUGGACGAAAGUCUGACGGAGCAACGCCGCGUGAUUGAUGACGGCUUUCGGGGUGUAAGGCUCUGUGAAUCGCGACGCGGUACCGGAAUCGAAAGCCACGGCUAACUACGUGCCAGCAGCCGCGGUAAUUC
rnacentral:rRNA from 1 species